AUAUUGUUGUACAAAUAGAAGUAGUCUCUCGUACAGACCCUGAAGCAAAUAUAUCCAAGAGAAGCCCACACAAGGCUAGAAAAUGUGGCAGAGUCCUAGAUUUCCUCAGCUUCAGAAUGAAGAAAGAUCUCAGGGGCCCUUUUCAUUA